UGCAGUCGAGCGGAUGANGGGAGCUUGCUCCUUGAUUCAGCGGCGGACGGGUGAGUAAUGCCUAGGAAUCUGCCUGGUAGUGGGGGACAACGUUUCGAAAGGAACGCUAAUACCGCAUACGUCCUACGGGAGAAAGCAGGGGACCUUCGGGCCUUGCGCUAUCANAUGAGCCUAGGUCGGAUUAGCUAGUUGGNGGGGUAAUGGCUCACCAAGGCGACGAUCCGUAACUGGUCUGAGAGGAUGAUCAGUCACACUGGAACUGAGACACGGUCCAGACUCCUACGGGAGGCAGCAGUGGGGAAUAUUGGACAAUGGGCGAAAGCCUGAUCCAGCCAUGCCGCGUGUGUGAAGAAGGUCUUCGGAUUGUAAAGCACUUUAAGUUGGGAGGAAGGGCAGUAAGCUAAUACCUUGCUGUUUUGACGUUACCGACAGAAUAAGCACCGGCUAACUCUGUGCCAGCAGCCGCGGUAAUACAGAGGGUGCAAGCGUUAAUCGGAAUUACUGGGCGUAAAGCGCGCGUAGGUGGUUCGUUAAGUUGGAUGUGA
rnacentral:rRNA from 1 species